UAACCUGACAGGACGGCAACUCCUAUAGGCUGCAGGGAGGCGGAGGAGUUUAUUUAGGGACACCUUAGCACUCUCCCUCGUCCUCUCUCUCUCUCUCCCCACUGCCGGUCCUGUGGGUGUGUGCGGAAGUUUAGCGUGAGCGCAGCACGUGUGGUCGCAAUUGUUUGUCGCAGUAAGUUGCUGGAAGUUAUAUAAUGUUAACGGCGAUCACAGAGAAAGUGUCCGCAAAUUGUAACUGAAGUUUGUCCUUAGAGCCCAGCGUGAAGCUGUGUCUGUGUGCGACUGUGUCGGCGUCACCGUGGAUGCACGCUGUCCCUGCUUUAUUUUAAUGAAUUAAAGGGCUGCCUCCAGCUAAAUAGUUACGGUCACUGUUUUUUCCCACUUUAGAUUUCAUUUAGAUUAUUUGGUUUGAUUAUUUGUUUCUUUGUGUUUUGUUUUGUUCUAUUGCAAGGUGCAAUAUAUAUGGUUGACUGGGACUGUGCAAUUCAGUGGUAGUGACUUGAAUGGUGGUGAAUUAUUGGCUCCAUAAAGUAGAGGCCCUCUUUUGUCAUUUUGUUGUUGUAUAUCGUUUGCAGUGAUUUUCUUAAAGUGUGUUGUGUUUGGUUUUUAAUGCAUGAUAUUUUAGCAUUGUACAAUUGGGUCUGGAGCCUCUAAUUUCUCUCUAUUUUAAGCUGUCAUUUAUAUCAAGUCCAGGCCAGCCUUUCCAACCUUUGCACAUGUCACUUUACUGUUUGAGCAGUCUGUUUUAAAUCAUUUGCAUCUAUUAAAUAAAUUGUAUUUUGUAUUGAUA